CCAGACUCCUACGGGAGGCAGCAGUGAGGAAUAUUGGUCAAUGGCCGGAAGGCUGAACCAGCCAUGCCGCGUGAAGGUCAGUGCCCUAUGGGCGUUAAACUUCUUUUGUGCGGGAGCAAUAAUGGUCACGUGUGGCCAGACGAGAGUACCGUACGAAUAAGCAUCGGCUAACUCCGUGCCAGCAGCCGCGGUAAUACGGGGGAUGCAAGCGUUAUCCGGAUUUAUUGGGUUUAAAGGGUGCGUAGGCGGACUGUUAAGUCAGCGGUAAGAGCCCGGGGCUCACCCCCGGCGAGCCGUUGAAACUGGCUGUCUUGAGAUGUCGAGAGGUAUGCGGAAUGCGCAGUGUAGCGGUGAAAUGCUUAGAUAUUGCGCAGAACUCCGAUUGCGAAGGCAGCAUACCGGCGGCGAUCUGACGCUGAGGCACGAAAGCGUGGGUAUCGAACAGGAUUAGAUACCCUAGUAC
rnacentral:rRNA from 1 species